GAAUCGAAAUCAGGAUCGUGCCGAUCACCGCGAGCAAGAUGGCGAUCGGAUAGCUGAUGCCGAGCGUCUUCAGCGCAUACGAUGCAAGAUAGCCCCCGAUCAUCAUCGCGAAAGCGCCAUGGGCGAGAUUCACCACGCGCAUCAGUCCCAUCAUGAUCGACAGACCGAUGGAAAUCGUGAACAGCACCAUCCCGUAGGAAAUCGCGUCCAGCAGGAUGCUCAGC
rnacentral:misc_RNA from 1 species